rnacentral:tRNA from 1 species
GAGGCAUAGCUCAGCUGGUUAGAGCGCACGCUUCACAUGCGUGAGGUCGCGGGUUCGAGUCCCUCUGCCUCC